CCCUUAGAUGUCCUGGGCUGCACGCGCGCUACACUGAUGUGUCCAGUAAGCACCUAACCUAUUCCGAGAGGAAUGGGUAACCUUUUGAAAGUGCAUCGUGAUAGGGAUAGACUAUUGCAAUUAUUGGUCUUCAACGAGGAAUUCCUAGUAGACGUAGUUCAUCAGACUGCAUCGAUUACGUCCCUGCCCUUUGUACACACCGCCCGUCGCUCCUACCGAUUGAAUGCUCAGGUGAGCCAUUCGGACUUUCAUCAUGCUGGUUUCCAGUUUUGAUGAAGGAAAGUCUUGCGAACCUUAUCAUUUAGAGGAAGGAGAAGUCGUAACA
rnacentral:rRNA from 1 species